rnacentral:misc_RNA from 1 species
AGUUGAUAGUGAAUAUUUUUUACGGAAACUGUGACUUUAUUUAUUAUAAUUUCUGUAUUAUAUUUUUAUUUUAGAAUGACCAAAAGGGAACUCUAAUGUAUUUGGUUUUGGCUUCAGCAGUAAUUCAUGAAAGUUUCCACUUGGUGUGACAUUAGUAUGCUUCCUAUGUUUCUUCGCAUUGGUCAUUUUGAUGUGAUGAUGAAUUGAUUGUAUCUAAACUACAGGCGAAGUAGAAGUAAAUGCAUUACUGUUGAUCCAUCACAGUCGAUCUGACGGUUUCGUAUUUCAUAAUAACUCGUCUUGCCUGCUGUGGAUGUGAUAAGAAUUUAAAAAAAUGGAUUCCUUGGAAGUAGCUGAAUACUUGGAAAAGGAUAGUGUUGAUUUACUUGAUUCAUUUGAAAUGACUGUGCAAUGGCAUGGAAGGAUAGUAAGGAAAAUUAUCUUCCUGAACUUUGUAACUUAAAAACUCAGUUUACUCAAAUCUGUGAAUGGCAGCUCAAAGUACUAGAAGAAAAAGAAUUAAGUCAAGAGGAAAAAGAGCAGGAAAAGGGAAAAGUGCUCAUGUCCUAUGUGAGCAUGCUGUCAGACCAAAAUGAAGUCUUAAUUCAGGCAUUGACUCACCUAGAGAAAGAAGCUAAGCAAAGAGUUUCCCAAAUGGAGGGAAGGCUAAAGAUGAGUGCUAGGACAACUAAGGAAGCCGUUCUACAGCUCAGUGAGUGGGAACAGGAAAUGAAGAAACUAGUAACUCAUAAGCAUGAACUAGAAGCAUAUUUAGAGGAAACUCAACAAUUACUAUCAGCUGUGAAGGUUGAAAACAGUUUUUUACGAGACCAGAAUGCCAACUACCAGCAUGAUCUUCAGUCACUACUUCGUGUUAUACAAAAUGCUCGUUCUACAGGCAACUGGGAGAUGGAUUGUGUAACGUUUUGUGAAGUUUCUCCUGAAGAUGUGUUUGGACCAAUCAGGCCUUUGUCUGGAAGAUUAUCCAGAGAGUCCUUUACUGGGCAAGAAAAUACGGUUUUCUCCCACUGUGAUGAAUUUCAGUCUCUUGGUGUGACUAGUUCAGAACAUAGUUCCUGCCAUACGUCUCACCGCAGUUCCUGGUCAAACUUCCAAGAAUGUGACAGCCUUGAAAAGAAUUUAGAACAACAAUCAUCAGCAGUGAAAAGUUCUGGAGAUUUUCAGUACUUGCAGCGUUUAAGGGAAGAAACACAGCUUGAGCUUUUAGAAAAAGAUAGACUUAUUGCCAGUUUGGAAGCCCAAAUCACAGCACUUAACCAUGAACUUACUGUAAGGAGUGCCGAGUGUGAACGUCAUCUUCUGGACCUAGAGUUUUGGCUAAAGCAAAAUAAGUCUCGUGCAUCUGGAAGGGGUUAUCACAGCUGCUGUUCCUCCCAUCCCGAGUAUACAGUUAUUACUUCCAGCCCUUCUUGGGGAACGCAGUCUCUUCCUUCCAUGUGUCGUGAACAUUCGUUGCCACAGGAGUCGUCAGUUACUGAAGAACAUUAUGUCAGAAAUAGCAGCCAUUCAUGCAUAAGAGUAAAAGGUUGUGGUGUGUGUACAUGUUCAUCGGGUGACUAUUAUGCUCUUCCUUGUAAUCAUGCAAGUUCUCCAAUUGGAGACACAGAGUGCUCAUAUGUAACACCAAACCCAGAUGCUCAAAAAUGUAUGACCACCAGGAAGAUGCAUUCAGGAGCACAAACUGAUAUUAUCGUAAAGGACACACUUGCAAAGAUACUGAAGGAUGAAGCUUGUCAAAUAAGUAGUCCUUUAUUACCCCUACAGCUAUCAAACAGUAAAGUUGAAAAUGCUUCUCAAACCAAAUUAAUGUCUAAAUCUGUUUCAUCCCAGACCAUGGGUAAGUUUUGUGAUGUAUGCAAUAAUGAAAUGGCAUCUAUACAGAACUUUCCAACAGAGCUACAAAAUUGCUUACAUAUAAAAUAUGCUUCAACACAAACUGAAAUAUUAUUUUCAACUGAGGAUAAUGACCCGGUCAACCACAAGGAAAAGGAUAAAGUUACCCUGGAUCACGUGAUGCUUAUAUGUGGACGAUGUGGUUCUUCAGCUGUGACUGUGAAUCCAAAUUAUGUGGAUGUAGAUGAAACGUUGUCCACUUCAUUACCUUAUCAUCUAAGGCAGGAUAGUCCCGAACUAGAUGGAUUUGUUGAUUGUUUCUCACGCACUUUGGAACCAAUUGAAGAAGAACCUAAUUGUCAGGAAGAGAAGGCACAAGAUGCUCUUCUUCCUGUUUCAUCAUCAUAUGCUGUUAUAACAUUUCCUGAUAAUUUUGGUAAACAACACAGUGAAGAAAUUACAAAAAGACAUGUUUUUCAAACUGGUUCCUGUAACGAAGUCAAGUGUUUUUCAUCACAGAUAAACACUUUAUCUGAAAACUAUAGCAUUUCACAUGCUGACAAUAAUUCAAAUGUUCAUUCUGCUCAAGAGAAGGAAACUUUUGAAGUACCCACUUCUUCUUUUCAGACAAACAUAUCUCCCGAAGUUCACUCUUCAUCAUCUCAAACAAAUAUAAUUCCUGAUGUCCAAAUUUCAUGUUGGACAAACUCAAAUUCUAAAAUCCAGCCUUCAUCUCAGACAGACAUAACUCCUGAAGUUCAGAUUUCUUUAUCUCCAACAAACCUAUCUCCUGAAAUCAAUACUUCAUCAUCUCAGACAGACAUACCCCCUGAAGUCCAGUCUUCAUCAUUACAGACAAACACACUUCCUGAAGUCCUGUCUUCUUCAUCUCAGACAGACAUACCUCCUGAAGUACAGUCUUCGUCAUCCCAGACAAACAAACCUCCUGAAGUUCUGUCUUCUUCAUCUCAGGCAAAUAUAAUUCCUGAAAUCCAGACUUCUUCAUGUCAGACAAACUCAAAUCCUAAAAUCCAGUCAUCAUGUCAAACAAACAUACCUCCUGAAAUUCUGUCUUCUUCAUCUCAGACAGAUCUAUCUCCUGAAAUCAAUACUUCUUCAUCUCAGACUAAGAUAAACAAAAAAAACCAGUUUUCUCAGUCUGAAAUAAUUACAGAAACACAGUCAUCUCAGACUGAGUUAAAAACAGAGUCAAAGUUUUGUAAGACAAAUGAAGGUACAGGUAUUUUUAAUCAUUGUGAAAUACAACCAAACAAUCAUUUUCUAAGUGAUGAACCUAUCCUUGUCCAGUCACCUGAUCAGAAUCCCUUGGAAACUACUGUGCUCCAUUCCCAGACUUACCAGCCCGUUGAUAACCAAAAUGUUGCAUCACUACAUUAUAAUAGUGAUCACUCUGAAGUUCAGCAUUUUGUACAAAAACUGAAGGAUCAACUUAGAAAAGCUGAGGAUAAGGCUAUGGCUAAGGAGAUUCUUCUUGAACAACUGCAGAAUCAUCUCCAGGUAUCAUUUAAAGAACUUGAACUGAAGGACAAAGCCCUAGAAAAUGUAGAAAGGAAGUUAAACACUACUCGCCAAGAUUGUCAGAACUUGCGUGGUAAGAUUUCUGAAUUAGAGAAAGAGAUAGAAAAGUAUCUUGAAGAUGCCAAACAAAGAGAAGAUAACUUACAAAAACAUAUUGAAUCUAGAGAAGAAGAACUUAAAGAGAUAAAGCAGCAACAACACGUACUUCAGGAACAAAAACGGCUACUGAUGAUACAGUUAGAUAGUCGAGGGGAGAAGUUACUUGACACCCAAGAAGAAGUAAUAAAACUGAGGGCUCACUUGGAAGCUCGUGUUCUAGAGGUACAGCAGCAAGCUCUGACAAUAACAAACCUCCAGGAAGCCAUUGUCCAUUCUCGGAGAACCCUUGAUGGGUUGAACCAGUCAGGUACACAUAAUCCUUCACUUGUCAAGAGAACAGGAAAUCCAACAGUACUAAACAUCUGAGUGACUUCUGUCCCCUAUGGUGGUUAAGAAAGUGGACAAUCCAAUAAUACUGAACCUAUUAUUCUGUAUCUUCAUGCCGUCGGAAAAUUGAUAUUACCAACUUAGCACCCUUAAACUAAAACGUAUUGGUUUAACUGUCACAGUUAGGAUAGCCUCUGAUGUUGUAUAGUAGGAGUGCCGUAAUGAGUUUUCUUUGCUGAAGUGCGGGAUUAGGGAGAGCAAGAUUCAGAACAAAUAUUAAUCAAGACAACAACUAGUGUUUGUAAGUUGCCUGGGCAAGGUAUGAUAUUUUGUUUAUUUAGAGUUCUAUUCAAUAAUUAAUAACAUUCGUUAUAUUAGUUAGCAUAUCAAAUGUAACUUAUUUCUAUUUGUCGUUCAUUAUUGUAUACCUUUAUUAUAAAAAUUGUUUCGCAUUGUUAGCUUAGAAUUUGUAGGACUAACCUAAACUUCCUAAACUAGCCGAAAUGUGAGAGAUAUUAUUGGGUUUACGGCCGAAAAUGCCAUUAACAACUAGAGUAUCCAACUGAUGAAACAAUGCAUUCUAAUUUUUAUAAGUAGGAACGUAAGAAAAGUAUAGUUAAGUGGAUAUACUGAUGAUCAGGUUGAUAUUUAGUUUCGAUCUAAGUGCAUAGCUUACUCUGAUUAAAGGCAAUUGUUAUUAACUAAGUUAUAACAGCUUGAUCAAGGGAAGAAAAUCAGAUUUCUGUCAAGUUUCGAAAUAUAUUGUAAAGGUGAACUAUCUGAUACAAAUAAAGUUUAUUAUAACUACAUAUCGGUACAUAGCAUUUAUUACUUACCUCCUUUAAAACAAGAAAAAAAAACCCUACUUGCUCGUUAAUUCCUAAAGUCUGUAUUUGAAAUCUGUAUUUACUGGAAAAAACCUUAGAGUACAUUUGCACUAAGGAUUAUACGUGACCAAGACAUUAUAUAUAUAACACUCGUCUUAGUGGAAAAUUAAUUGAAUAGUUAUGUUCUUGUAUAAUACAGAUCC